GAAGAAGUUUCCAUUAAGCCCAGGCAGCAAUCUGCUCCCGCCCCCCCCCCCCCCCCCGGAGGCUCACAGGCCAGUGAGGAGGAGAGAACAAGUCCCCGGGGAAACAAAGGACAAGAUAAUUGCAGAAGUGAGUGUGGAGCAGGUGCUGGGCAUUUCCUGAUGUCAACAAGGCUCUGGUGUGAGAGGGACGCGAGGUCGGGGAGAUUCUCUGCUGCUGCCCUUGGGGCCCACGGCGGCCAUGAGCACAGAGCAGAGGCAGGCCCUUGGGGCAGAGGCCACCCCCACGUCCCCACCUGACAGCUGGCAGGAAACUGGCACCUUUACCGCCCGUCUCAACGCACUAGAUCCUGCCACGGCCACAGGAACCAGAAAGAGCUCCAGAUGAGACCUCACUUCUGCUGUGCGAGACCCUGAGCUGAGAACCAGUCAGCCACGCCCAGGCUCCUGACUUGCACAAGCGUGGGCUGGUGGUGCUGACGUCGCUACAGUUGUGGUGAUUUGUUUAGUAACAAGAGAAAACAAAUACAGUGUGUCCUAAAUGGUUUCCACCUCAGAACCCUGUAUCCUUUGAGGAAGGACACAGCAUCCCAGAGUCCCCAUGCGCUACAAUCAAUGCCUUCCUCCUGUACAUCUUUGCUGCUCCCAAUCCUGCUAAUCUAGGCAACAUUGCGACGAACGUUUUAUAGCUAAGUCUCUGUGCAUUCUAAAUUCCUGGAAAUGGCACUACGCACGGAGUGUCGGCGAAUGUGGUUUUGAAAUGAACACCCACUGCCCUCUAGAAACAUUGCACCAAACGUAUCUCCCCAUUGGCCAUUUAUGGGCACACACACUUCACUUCCCCCAAACUGCCUUUCAGUUCAAGUGACGUGUCCCGUCUUUCUGCGUUUUUAAAUUAUUAGUGUUAACUUUUUUUUCCCC